GUGAGGAAUAUUGGACAAUGGGCGCAAGCCUGAUCCAGCCAUGCCGCGUGCAGGAAGACGCAUCUAUGGUGUGUAAACUGCUUUUGUACGGGAAGAAACACUCCCUCGUGAGGGAGCUUGACGGUACCGUAAGAAUAAGGAUCGGCUAACUCCGUGCCAGCAGCCGCGGUAAUACGGAGGAUCCAAGCGUUAUCCGGAAUCAUUGGGUUUAAAGGGUCCGUAGGCGGUUUAAUAAGUCAGUGGUGAAAGCCCAUCGCUCAACGAUGGAACGGCCAUUGAUACUGUUAGACUUGAAUUACAAGGAAGUAACUAGAAAAUGUAGUGUAGCGGUGAAAUGCUUAGAUAUUACAUGGAAUACCAAUUGCGAAGGCAGGUUACUACUUGUGGAUUGACGCUGAUGGACGAAAGCGUGGGGAGCGAACAGGAUUAGAUACCUCAGUAGUCC
rnacentral:rRNA from 1 species